rnacentral:rRNA from 1 species
GAAUAUUGGUCAAUGGAGGCAACUCUGAACCAGCCAUGCCGCGUGCAGGAUGACUGCCCUCUGGGUUGUAAACUGCUUUUGUCAGGGAAUAAACCUUUCUACGUGUAGAAAGCUGAAUGUACCUGAAGAAUAAGGAUCGGCUAACUCCGUUCCAGCAGCCGCGGUAAUACGGAGGAUCCAAGCGUUAUCCGGAUUUAUUGGGUUUAAAGGGUGCGUAGGCGGUCCUAUAAGUCAGUGGUGAAAGACGGCAGCUUAACUGUCGCAGUGCCUUUGAUACUGUAGGACUUGAAUCUAUUUGAAGUGGGCGGAAUAAGACAAGUAGCGGUGAAAUGCAUAGAUAUGUCUUAGAACUCCGAUUGCGAAGGCAGCUCACUAAGUUAGUAUUGACGCUGAUGCACGAAAGCGUGGGGAUCAAACAG